rnacentral:rRNA from 1 species
AUGAUUAAAGGAGAAGAUUGUUCUUUUACCAAACAUAUGCAGAUCAAAUCACGUCUUAUAAUAAGAAGAAAUAUUUCUCGGUAUCAAUCCCCUUGCCCCUCAUUCUUUGAGAAUUAGAAGGAUCCUUUUCGAGUUUCCAUUUCUUCAUUUGUAAUCUGGGCUCUUCUAUCUUUGACUUAUUUUUUUGGCUUUAUUCUUUAUUUAUUUCAUUUCGAUUUUUCCCUCUUCCUCCAUCCCUCAUUGUACAACAAUUUAAUUUGGAAAAGGGAUGUAGCGCAGCUUGGUAGCGCGAGCGAAUUCUCGAUAUUCCUUUUUAUUUCUCAUCAAACGAAUGGCAUCUUCUUCUGGAAAUCCUAG